AUGUUGACUGAUGGCAAAGGACGGAUUGUGGACUUCAAGAAUACAAUUAUCAUCCUGACCUCAAAUGUGGGGUCAGAGCACUUAAUGGCAGGAAUGUCUGGGGAAACCAGAAUGGAAACUGCACGGAGCCUUCUCAUGAAACAGGUUCAGAAACACUACAGACCCGAGCUUCUCAACAGACUCAGUGCCAUUGUUGUCUUUGAGCCACUUUCGCGAGACAAACUGAAGGAGGUUGUGACAAUCCAAAUGAAGAGCGUCAUCGCCAGAGUAGCUGACAAGGGCAUCCGUCUAUGUGCAAGCGAUGAGGCAUUGGACGUCAUUUUGUCGGAAUCAUACAACCCAAUGUACGGUGCAAGGCCUAUAAGGAGGUGGUUACAGGAGAAUGUGACGACAAUGAUCUCGGAGAUGCUUGUCAAAGGAGAGGCUGGUUCAGGCUCGACAAUAUUUGUUGAUGCUACGGUCGACAAGAAGGGGCUGAAGUACGAAGUGGUGAAGGAAGUGGUGGAUCCAGUGGUGGGACUUCCCAGUGACUCUAGCGAUGAUUUGAUUGUGGCCACUCCCACAAGGAAUGGCAACAGGCCUGAAAACAUGCCGCGUCAGAAGACUAAACCACCUUGUGUUGCUUCAAGGUCUCUGGGGAACUUGUAUUUCCCAAUCAAGGCUUUGUUAGCAAGGCUUAACGCCUAA
rnacentral:rRNA from 1 species